UGCCCGGUCUUUGCCCCGGAUCAACCCCUGUGGUUAUGACGGUUUCCGACUUGGGGAAAUGGACUUGUUGUGUUGUUCGUAUGUUUGGUAGGAAAAGUUCUACUAAACGCGGGCAAUGCUUCGCACAUUU
rnacentral:snoRNA from 1 species